UACUCAAAAUGCAAACGCCCAGUCCUUCAACCACACUGAAGAGACAACCUAGUGGGGCCCACGGUCGCUCAGGUGAGUCCUGGGGAACGAUUUCUGUUUGUUUGGGUUGUACUGGUGUCUUGUCCAGUGACGUCUGGAGUCACAACUGUAUGCAUCUUUGUUUAAGCUCCACGUGGGUGGGACAGACACCCAGGAGUAGAAGACUUCCUAGCAUGCAUAUAGCCUUGAGCUUUAUCCGUACAUCCCAUAAACCACGUGUGCUCGAGGAUGCCGGUCAUCCAGGCGGCUACCAGAGGCAGAGGAAGGAGGAUUAGAAGUUCAAAGGCUGCCCUCAGCUACUUAAUGAGUAAAGGCCAGCCUGGGCUAAGUGAGACCCUAUCUCAGAGCGGGGUGGUGCAGUUGCUGGAGAGAUGGCUCAGCAUUGAAGCUGAACACUUGUUGCCCUCUUAAAGGACCUGGGUUCAGUUCCCAGCAUCCACACCGGGGCUGACAAUACUCUAUAAUGCCACUUCUGGGAAAUCUGGUACCCUCUUGUGACCCCUUGGGGGCACCAGGCAAACAUCCACACUCUAAAAUAAAAUAAAAUAAUGAAUA
rnacentral:lncRNA from 1 species